AUGAACGCUAGCUACAGGCUUAACACAUGCAAGUCGAGGGGAAACGGCAUCGAAAGCUUGCUUUUGAUGGGCGUCGACCGGCGCACGGGUGAGUAACGCGUAUCCAACCUGCCCAUCACUUGGGAAUAACCUUGCGAAAGUAAGACUAAUGCCCAAUGACAUCCCACGAAGGCAUCCGAAUGGGAUUAAAGAUUUAUCGGUGAUGGAUGGGGAUGCGUCUGAUUAGCUUGUUGGCGGGGUGACGGCCCACCAAGGCAACGAUCAGUAGGGGUUCUGAGAGGAAGGUCCCCCACAUUGGAGCUGCGACACGGUCCAAACUCCUACGGGGGGCAGCAGUAAGGAAUAUUAGUCGAUGGACGAGAGCCUGAACCAGCCAAGUAGCGUGCAGGAUGACGGCCCUAUGGGUUGUAAACUGCUUUUAUAAGGGAAUAAAGUGGGUCACGUGUGACUUUUUGCAUGUACCUUAUGAAUAAGGACCGGCUAAUUCCGUG
rnacentral:rRNA from 1 species